rnacentral:rRNA from 1 species
GACGAACGCUGGCGGCGUGCUUAACACAUGCAAGUCGAACGGAAAGGCCCUGCUUUUGUGGGGUGCUCGAGUGGCGAACGGGUGAGUAACACGUGAGUAACCUGCCCUUGACUUUGGGAUAACUUCAGGAAACUGGGGCUAAUACCGGAUAGGAGCUCCUGCUGCAUGGUGGGGGUUGGAAAGUUUCGGCGGUUGGGGAUGGACUCGCGGGUUAUCAGCUUGUUGGUGGGGUAGGGGCUUACCAAGGCUUUGACGGGUAGCCGGCCUGAGAGGGUGACCGGCCACAUUGGGACUGAGAUACGGCCCAGACUCCUACGGGAGGCAGCGGUGGGGAAUAUUGCACAAUGGGCGGAAGCCUGAUGCAGCAACGCCGCGUGCGGGAUGACGGCCUUCGGGUUGUAAACCGCUUUCGCCUGUGACGAAGCCUGAGUGACGGUAAUGGGUAAAGAAGCACCGGCUAACUACGUG